rnacentral:rRNA from 1 species
UACGUAGGGGCCUAGCGUUGUCCGGAAUUAUUGGGCGUAAAGAGCUCGUAGGCGGUUCGGCAAGUCGGAUGUGAAAUCUCCACGCUUAACGUGGAGGGGCCAUUCGAAACUGCUGUGACUCGAGUCCGGUAGGGGGAGUGUGGAAUUCCCGGUGUAGCGGUGAAAUGCGCAGAUAUCGGAAGGAACAUCAGUGGCGAAGGCGACUUCUGGACAGAUACUGACACUGAGGCACGAGAGCAUGGGUAGCAAACAGGG